rnacentral:rRNA from 1 species
AUUGAACGCUGGCGGCAGGCCUAACACAUGCAAGUCGAGCGGAAGCACAGUAAUAGCUCGUUGUUACGGCUGGCGACGGGCGGGUGAUUGAGAGGUACCUCCCUGUCAACUUUUGCUUGGGUGCUAACGCGGGCACUCAUACCCUAUUCGCCCAUACGACGUACGUGUGGAAUCAUCGGACCUUCCGAUCUUGCAUGAUCCUAUGACGCGAUGUCGGAUUAGCUAGUUGGCGGGGUAAAGGCCCACCAAGGCGACGAUCCGUAGCUGGUCUGAGAGGAUGAUCAGCCACACUGGAACUGAGACACGGUCCAGACUCCUACGGGAGGCAGCAGUGGGGAAUAUUGGACAAUGGGCGAAAGCCUGAUCCAGCCAUGCCGCGUGUGUGAAGAAGGCCUUCGGAUUGUAAAGCACUUUUGUUUGGGAAGAAAAGCAGUAGGUUAAUACCUCGCUGUUUUGACGGUACCCAAAGAAUAAGCACCGGCUAACUUCGUG